rnacentral:misc_RNA from 1 species
UUUCCGUAGGUGAACCUGCGGAAGGAUCAUUAACGAGUUAGGGUCUUCUAGGCCCGACCUCCCAACCCUUUGUUUACUGAACCAUUGUUGCCUCGGUGGGUCCGUCUUACGACCGCCGGGGGAUCGCCGCGAGGCGCCCCCUGGCCAGCGCCCACCGAUAGCCCAACCUUUAAAACCCUUUGUGAAUCGUGUCUUAUGUCUAAAUUUAUGAUUAAACAAUCAAAACAAUACUUUCAACAACGGAUCUCUUGGUUCUG